AUGUUAACUAAAGAUAGAAAGUUCUCGGUGAAAUCUCUUUAUGAUUUUCUCAUUAAAACUAAUGUUGGUUUUCCUCACAAGUUUUUGUGGAAAUCCAAAACUCCUGCAAAAAUCAAAAUGUUUCUUUGGCUUCUGACUAGGAAGAGUAUUCUAACUAAAGAUAAUCUGGCCAGAAGAGGUUGGAAGGGAAGCAAAAGCUGGGUCUUCUGUGGGAAAGAUGAAUCAAUUGAUCACUUAUUUUUCUCUUGCUCUGUUGCUAAAUUGAUGUGGAGCCUGAUUAAAUGUUCUUUUGAUCUUCGAAAUACCACGCAGAAUUUAAACAAUUGUUUGUUAUCUUGGAUCAAAACAUUCCAGUAA
rnacentral:rRNA from 1 species